CCUACGGGUGGCUGCAGUGGGGAAUAUUGGACAAUGGGGGCAACCCUGAUCCAGCCAUGCCGCGUGUGUGAAGAAGGCCCUCGGGUUGUAAAGCACUUUCAGUGAGGAAGAACGCCUGGUGGUUAAUACCCAUCAGGAAAGACAUCACUCACAGAAGAAGCACCGGCUAACUCCGUGCCAGCAGCCGCGGUAAUACGGAGGGUGCGAGCGUUAAUCGGAAUUACUGGGCGUAAAGCGCGCGUAGGUGGCUUGAUAAGCCGGUUGUGAAAGCCCCGGGCUCAACCUGGGAACGGCAUCCGGAACUGUCAAGCUAGAGUGCAGGAGAGGAAGGUAGAAUUCCCGGUGUAGCGGUGAAAUGCGUAGAGAUCGGGAGGAAUACCAGUGGAGAAGGCGGCCUUCUGGACUGACACUGACACUGAGGUGCGAAAGCGUGGGUAGCAAACAGGAUUAGAUACCCUAGUAGUC
rnacentral:rRNA from 1 species